rnacentral:rRNA from 1 species
AAAGAAUGGUUGGACGAAAUAUAUACUGUUUCAUUUAAAAUUUAAAUAGAAUUUUAUUUUUUAGUUAAAAAGCUAAAAUAUAGUCAAAAGACGAGAAGACCCUAUAAAUCUUAAUUGUGUAUAAAUUUUUAAUUUGGAUUGAUUUUUUUAAGUAUAAAUUUAUAUAUAAUUUCAUUGGGGUGAUGUUAAAAUUUAAUUAACUUUUAAUAAUUUUAUUCAUUUAUUUAUGAUUAAGUGAUCCAUUAUUAGUGAUUAUAAAUUUAAGUUACUUUAGGGAUAACAGCGUAAUUUUUUUGGAGAGUUCUUAUCGAUAAAAAAGUUUGCGACCUCGAUGUUGGAUUAAGAUUCAUAUUUAAAUGUAGAAGUUUAAAUAUUAAGUCUGUUCGACUUUUUAUUCUUACAUGAUCUGAGUUCAAACCGGUGUAAGCCAGGUUGGUUUCUAUCUUUGAUUUAAUAAAAUAUUUUAGUACGAAAGGAAUUAGUAUUUAUUUUUUAGAAAUUUAAUUAAUGAAUAAAUUU